GUGGGGAAUAUUGGACAAUGGGCGCAAGCCUGAUCCAGCCAUACCGCGUGGGUGAAGAAGGCCUUCGGGUUGUAAAGCCCUUUUGUUGGGAAAGAAAUCCUGUCGAUUAAUACUCGGUGGGGAUGACGGUACCCAAAGAAUAAGCACCGGCUAACUUCGUGCCAGCAGCCGCGGUAAUACGAAGGGUGCAAGCGUUACUCGGAAUUACUGGGCGUAAAGCGUGCGUAGGUGGUGGUUUAAGUCUGCUGUGAAAGCCCUGGGCUCAACCUGGGAAUUGCAGUGGAUACUGGAUCACUAGAGUGUGGUAGAGGGAUGCGGAAUUUCUGGUGUAGCAGUGAAAUGCGUAGAGAUCAGAAGGAACAUCCGUGGCGAAGGCGGCAUCCUGGGCCAACACUGACACUGAGGCACGAAAGCGUGGGGAGCAAACAGGAUUAGAUACCCUGGUAGUCC
rnacentral:rRNA from 1 species